GGUUACUGUGUCCUCCGCAGAGUAGUAAGAUGGGGAUGGAGGCAGUGAUGGCGCUGCUGGAGGCCACGCCUGACAUGCCUGCCUGCAUGGUGAGCCUUUCCGGGAACCAGUCUGUCCGCCUGCCCCUGAUGGAAUGCGUCCAGGUGACAAAGGAAGUGCAGAAAGCGAUGGAUGAGAAGAGGUUCGAAGAGGCAAUCCAGCUCCGGGGGAGGAGCUUUGAAAAAAACU